rnacentral:rRNA from 1 species
UACGAAGGGAGCUAGCGUUGUUCGGAAUCACUGGGCGUAAAGCGUGCGCAGGCGGCUUUGCAAGACAGAUGUGAAAUCCCCGGGCUCACCUGGGAACUGCAUUUGUGACUGCAUGGCUGGAGUGCGGCAGAGGGGGAUGGAAUUCCGCGUGUAGCAGUGAAAUGCGUAGAUAUGCGGAGGAACACCGAUGGCGAAGGCGGUCUGCUGGGGUGAUGCUGACACUGAUGCGCGACAGCGUGGGGAGCAAACAGG